AGUGAACAGAAAUGAGUCACAUCCUGAAUUCAUGGCUUUGUAUGAGACCACAUGUGGAAAGAAGGCCAAUAGCACUACCUCUUGCCUUACCCAUCUAGUCAAUUGGAUUACUGACUACAGUGAAGGAAGGGAAGGUGAAUGCCUAUCCUAAGAGAAGAUACCUCAAAGCUAUCCAAGGUCCCACAACAACUAGAGGCAGCAGUAGAUGGAGACGUCCAGGAAGGAGACCAUGUAGAAGACCUGGCAGAUGGAGUUCAGCAAGAUGCCAGCCCAGCUGAACGAGGGAACCACUCAUUCAUCAACUAUACCACACUCAGAAGGGAAUAUGGUGGUGAUUCCAAGAAGGGAUGAGAAGUAUCCCAAGAAGGGGCUAGGAAGUAUCUCCCCAUGGAGUGGGAAGAGAGACAUAAUGAGAUUCACCACUUACCUCCCGGGGAUGCUGGGGGAAUAACUGCACUAAUGGAUUGUCUGGAGGAUGCAAAAUGCUGGAGAAAAAAAACACCAGGCAGUCAAAAGAAGGGGCCUUCUGCUGGUUCAAGUGUUUGCCUGGAUGAAAAGCCCCAUUUGUCUUUCCCAUUUCUCUCAGGAGGAGGGAGAGGACAGAAGAAAGUUUUUCUUAAUAUGUAAAAAAAUAAAAGAAAGAAAAUGUCCCA
rnacentral:lncRNA from 1 species